rnacentral:rRNA from 1 species
AGUGAACGCUGGCGGUAGGCCUAACACAUGCAAUUCGAACGGCAGCACAGUAAGAGCUUGCUCUUACGGGUGGCGAGUGGCGGACGGGUGAGGCAUACAUCGGAAUCUACUUUUUCGUGGGGGAUAACGUAGGGAAACUUACGCUAAUACCGCAUACGACCUACGGGUGAAAGCAGGUGAUCUUCUGACCUUGCCCGAUUGAAUGAGCCGAUGUCGGAUUAGCUAGUUGGCGGGGUACAGGCCCACCAAGGCGACGAUCCGUAGCUGGUCUGAGAGGAUGAUCAGCCACACUGGAACUGAGACACGGUCCAGACUCAUACGGGAGGCAGCAGUGGGGAAUAUUGGACAAUGGGCGCAAGCCUGAUCCAGCCAUACCGCGUGGGUGAAGAAGGCCUUCGGGUUGUAAAGCCCUUUUGUUGGGAAAGAAAAGCAGCAGGUUAAUACCCCGCUGUUCUGACGGUACCCAAAGAAUAAGCACCGGCUAACUUCGUG